UGGGGAAUAUUGCACAAUGGGCGCAAGCCUGAUGCAGCCAUGCCGCGUGUGUGAAGAAGGCCUUCGGGUUGUAAAGCACUUUCAGCGAGGAGGAAGGCGUUAAGGUUAAUAACCUUGGCGAUUGACGUUACUCGCAGAAGAAGCACCGGCUAACUCCGUGCCAGCAGCCGCGGUAAUACGGAGGGUGCAAGCGUUAAUCGGAAUUACUGGGCGUAAAGCGCACGCAGGCGGUUUGUUAAGUCAGAUGUGAAAUCCCCGAGCUUAACUUGGGAACUGCAUUUGAAACUGGCAAGCUAGAGUCUUGUAGAGGGGGGUAGAAUUCCAGGUGUAGCGGUGAAAUGCGUAGAGAUCUGGAGGAAUACCGGUGGCGAAGGCGGCCCCCCUGGACAAAGACUGACGCUCAGGUGCGAAAGCGUGGGGCAGCAAACAGGAUUAGAUACCCUGGUAGUCCACGCUGUAAACGAUGUCGACUUUGGAGGUUGUGGGCUUGACCCGUGGCUUCCGGA
rnacentral:rRNA from 1 species